CAGCCGCCGCGGUAAUUCGAAGGGUGCAAGCGUUAAUCGGAAUUACUGGGCGUAAAGCGUGCGUAGGCGGUGAGUUAAGUCUGCUGUGAAAUCCCCGGGCUCAACCUGGGAAUGGCAGUGGAUACUGGCUCGCUAGAGUGUGUCAGAGGAUGGUGGAAUUCCCGGUGUAGCGGUGAAAUGCGUAGAGAUCGGGAGGAACAUCAGUGGCGAAGGCGGCCAUCUGGGACAACACUGACGCUGAGGCACGAAAGCGUGGGGAGCAAACAGGAUUAGAUACCCCCGUAGUCCCUGUCUCUUAUAC
rnacentral:rRNA from 1 species